UUGGAGGGCAAGUCUGGUGCCCGCAGCCGCGGUAAUUCCAGCUCCAAUAGCGUAUAUUAAAGUUGUUGCAGUUAAAAAGCUCGCAGUUGAAUUUCGAGAUCAAUUUGUCGGUCGUGCCUCGGUACGUACUGGCAUUAUUGAUUUCUCCCUUCUGAAGAACCGCGAUGUCAUUAAUUUGGUGUCGUGGGGAAUCAGGACUGUUACUUUGAAAAAAUUAGAGUGUUUAAAGCAGGCGCACGCUUGAAUACAUUAGCAUGGAAUAAUGAAAUAGGACGUUUGAUUCUAUUUUGUUGGUUUCUAGAAUCGACGUAAUGAUUAAUAGGGAUAGUUGGGGGCAUUAGUAUUCAAUUGUCAGAGGUGAAAUUCUUGGAUUUAUUGAAGACUAACUACUGCGAAAGCAUUUGCCAAGGAUGUUUUCAUUAAUCAAGAACGAAAGUUAGGGGAUCGAAGACGAUCAGAUACCGUCGUAGUCUUAACCAUAAACUAUGCCGACUAGGGAUCGGAUGAUGUUAAUUUUUUAAUGACUCAUUCGGCGCCUUGCGGGAAACCAAAGUGUUUGGGUUC
rnacentral:rRNA from 1 species